rnacentral:rRNA from 1 species
GUAGUCAUAUGCUUGUCUCAAAGCUUAAGCCAUGCAAGUUUAAGUACAAAUAAUAAAUAAAGUCAAACCGCAAAAUGCUCAUUAAAUCAGUCACAGUUCACUUGACCUAAAAUAUCUCUUUUUUUUUUCUAAGGCAUUUGAUAGAUGGAUAACUGUGGUAAUUCUAGAGCUAAUACAUGCAAUUAAGUCCUGACCAGUAAUGGAAGGGACGCUUUUAUUAUAUCAAAACCAAUCGAUCAACUUUGUUUGUAUCGUUUUGACUUUUGAUGAAUCUGAAUAACCACAGCAGAUCACACGGUCUUUGUACUGGUGACCUAUCUUUCAAAUGACUGACUUAUCACACUUUCGAUGGUAGACUCAAUGUCUAACAUGGUUGUGACGGGUGACGGGGAAUCAGGGUUCGAUUCCGGAGAGGGAGCCUGAGAAACAGCUACCACAUCCAAGGAAGGACUCCCAGUACGGGGAGGUAGUGACAAAAAAUAACGAUACGGGACUCAUCCGAGGCCCCGUAAUCGGAAUGAGUACACUUUAAAUACUUUAACAAGUACCAAUUGGAGGGCAAGUCAGGUGCCAGCAGCCGCGGUAAUUCCUGCUCCAAUAGCGUAUAUUAAAGUUGUUGCAGUUAAAAAGCUCGUAGUUGGUUCUGUGUGCCACACUGUUGGUUUACCGCCUGUCGGUGUAACUGACAUGUCGUGGGACGUCCUGCCGGUGGUAAUCAACAAGUUUGCUGGCUUAUGUCGUCAUCAUUUUUAAAUGGUGAGUAGAUAUUUGUUUGGUUACUGUUAUUACCUAUAAUUCUCAUCGCGGUGCUCUUCAUUGAGUGUCGAGGUGAGCCGGCACAUUUACUUUGAACAAAUUAGAGUGCUUAAAGCAGGCUAAAUUCUGCUUGAAUAUUUGUGCAUGGAAUAAUAAAACAGGACCUUGGUUCUAUUUUGUUGGUUUUCUGAAUCCAAGGUAAUGAUCAAUGUGGACGGUCGGGGGCAUUCGUAUUGCGGCGUUAGAGGUGAAAUUCUUGGAUCGUCGCAAGACGAACUAGAGCGAAAGCAUUUGCCAAGUACGUCUUAAUUGAUCAAGAACGAAAGUUAGAGGUUCGAAGGCGAUCAGAUACCGCCCUAGUUCUAACCAUAAACGAUGUCAGCCAGCGAUCCGUAGAGUUCUAUGAAUGACUCGACGGGCAGCUUCCGGGAAACCAAAGCUUUUGGAUUCCGGGGGAAGUAUGGUUGCAAAGCUGAAACUUAAAGGAAUUGACGGAAGGGCACCACCAGGAGUGGAGCCUGCGGCUUAAUUUGACUCAACACGGGAAACCUCACCAGGCCAGGACAUUGGAAGGAUUGACAGAUUGAUAGCUCUUUCUUAAUUCAGUGGGUAGUGGUGCGUUGGUGGAACGAUUUGUCUGGUUAAUUCCGAUAACGAACGAGACUCUAGCCUACUAACUAGACGUUAAAUUAAAGGUAUAUUGAUUAUACCAAUGAAAAUAUCUCUUCUCAGAGGGAUAAGUGGCUGUCAGCCGCACGAGAUUGAGCAAUAACAGGUCUGUGAUGCCCUUAGAUGUCCUGGGCCGCACGCGCGCUACACUGAAGGAAUCAGCGUGUAUUUCCCUGCCCGAAAGGGCUGGGUAACCCGUUGAACCUCCUUCGUGCUAGGAAUUGGGGCUUGCAAUUGUUCCCCAUGAACGAGGAAUUCCCAGUAAGCGUGAGUCAUAACCUCGCGUUGAUUACGUCCCUGCCCUUUGUACACACCGCCCGUCGCUACUACCGAUUGAAUAAUUUAGUGAGGUCUUCAGACUGGUAAUUAAUUUGGACAUUAGCCUAGUGUUGUGACCAAAGUUGCCGGAAAGAUGACCAAACUUGAUUAUUUAGAGGAAGUAAAAGUCGUAACAAGG